GAUGGGAGCUUGCUCCCUGAAGUUAGCGGCGGACGGGUGAGUAACACGUGGGCAACCUGCCCUGCAGAUGGGGAUAACUCCGGGAAACCGGGGCUAAUACCGAAUAAUCAGUUCCUCCGCAUGGAGGAACUCUGAAAGACGGUUUCGGCUGUCACUGCAGGAUGGGCCCGCGGCGCAUUAGCUAGUUGGUGGGGUAACGGCCUACCAAGGCGACGAUGCGUAGCCGACCUGAGAGGGUGAUCGGCCACACUGGGACUGAGACACGGCCCAGACUCCUACGGGAGGCAGCAGUAGGGAAUCUUCCACAAUGGACGGAAGUCUGAUGGAGCAACGCCGCGUGAGCGAAGAAGGUUUUCGGAUCGUAAAGCUCUGUUGUAAGGGAAGAACACGUACGGGAGUCACUGCCCGUACCUUGACGGUACCUUAUCAGAAAGCCACGGCUAACUACGUGCCAGCAGCCGCGGUAAUACGUAGGUGGCAAGCGUUGUCCGGAAUUAUUGGGCGUAAAGCGCGCGCAGGCGGUCCUUUAAGUCUGAUGUGAAAGCCCACGGCUCAACCGUGGAGGGUCAUUUGGAAACUGGAGGACUUGAGUACAGAAGAGGAAAGCGGAAUUCCACGUGUAGCGGUGAAAUGCGUACAGAUGUGGAGGAACACCAGUGGCGAAGGCGGCUUUUCUGGUCUGU
rnacentral:rRNA from 1 species